rnacentral:rRNA from 1 species
GAUGAACGCUGGCGGCGUGCCUAACACAUGCAAGUCGAGCGAUCUUCUUCGGAAGAGAGCGGCGGACGGGUGAGUAACGCGUGGGUAACCUGCCCUGUACACACGGAUAACAUACCGAAAGGUAUGCUAAUACGGGAUGACAUAUGAAAGUCGCAUGGCUUUUAUAUCAAAGCUCCGGCGGUACAGGAUGGACCCGCGUCUGAUUAGCUAGUUGGUAAGGUAACGGCUUACCAAGGCGACGAUCAGUAGCCGACCUGAGAGGGUGAUCGGCCACACUGGAACUGAGACACGGUCCAGACUCCUACGGGAGGCAGCAGUGGGGAAUAUUGCACAAUGGGCGAAAGCCUGAUGCAGCAACGCCGCGUGAGCGAUGAGGGCCUUCGGGUCGUAAAGCUCUGUCCUCGAGGAAGAUAAUGACGGUACUUGAGGAGGAAGCCCCGGCUAACUACGUGCCAGCAGCCGCGGUAAUACGUAGGGGGCUAGCGUUAUCCGGAAUUACUGGGCGUAAAGGGUGCGUAGGCGGUCUUUCAAGCCAGAAGUGAAAGGCUACAGCUCAACCGUAGUAAGCUUUUGGAACUGUAGGACUUGAGUGCAGGAGAGGAGAGUAGAAUUCCUAGUGUAGCGGUGAAAUGCGUAGAUAUUAGGAGGAAUACCAGUAGCGAAGGCGGCUCUCUGGACGUAACUGACGCUGAGGCACGAAAGCGUGGGGAGCAAACAGG